rnacentral:rRNA from 1 species
UAGGGAAUCUUCCACAAUGGACGCAAGUCUGAUGGAGCAACGCCGCGUGAGUGAAGAAGGUUUUCGGAUCGUAAAGCUCUGUUGUUGGUGAAGAAGGAUAGAGGCAGUAACCGGUCUUUAUUUGACGGUAAUCAACCAGAAAGUCACGGCUAACUACGUGCCAGCAGCCGCGGUAAUACGUAGGUGGCAAGCGUUGUCCGGAUUUAUUGGGCGUAAAGCGAGCGCAGGCGGAAUGAUAAGUCUGAUGUGAAAGCCACGGCUCAACCGUGGAACUGCAUCGGAAACUG